rnacentral:lncRNA from 1 species
AAACUUUCCAAAUAAUCAUAGACAAAUGUGGAGCGACACGAGGCAGAGCGGGAAAAGAAAAAUUAAGAAGAUAAAGGGUGAAAGAGAGCAGAAAUUCGGCAGCAAUGAAGAGAAAAAUGACAAGAUGGUGGAGGGAUUUUGGGGAAAGUAAAAAAAAAAAGAAAAAAAGAUGAACAUAAUAUUUGAUAACCACCUCAAUCCCUUAUUUCUCUCCACUAAACUCCCCACUAAAUCCACUACUCAGAUUUUUAGUCCAUCUCAAACUCUCCUGGAUGCACGAGCAAAAAUAAUG